rnacentral:rRNA from 1 species
UACGUAGGGUGCGAGCGUUACUCGGAAUUACUGGGCGUAAAGCGUGCGCAGGCGGUUGGUUAAGUCCGCUGUGAAAGCCCCGGGCUCAACCUGGGAAUUGCGGUUGAAACUGGCGAACUAGAAUCUGGCAGAGGGGGGUGGAAUUCCACGUGUAGCAGUGAAAUGCGUAGAGAUGUGGAGGAACACCGAUGGCGAAGGCAGCCCCCUGGGCUGAGAUUGACGCUCAGGCACGAAAGCGUGGGGAGCAAACAGG